CCUACGGGGGGCAGCAGUCGAGAAUCAUUCACAAUGGGGGAAACCCUGAUGGUGCGACGCCGCGUGGGGGAAUGAAGGUCUUCGGAUUGUAAACCCCUGUCAUGUGGGAGCAAAUUAAAAAGAUAGUACCACAAGAGGAAGAGACGGCUAACUCUGUGCCAGCAGCCGCGGUAAUACAGAGGUCUCAAGCGUUGUUCGGAAUCACUGGGCGGAAAGCGUGCGUAGGCUGUUUCGUAAGUCGUGUGUGAAAGGCGCGGGCUCAACCCGCGGACGGCACAUGAUACUGCGAGACUAGAGUAAUGGAGGGGUAACCGGAAUUCUCGGUGUAGCAGUGAAAUGCGUAGAUAUCGAGAGGAACACUCGUGGCGAAGGCGGGUUCCUGGACAUUAACUGACGCUGAGGCACGAAGGCCAGGGGAGCGAAAGGGAUUAGAUACCCUUGUAGUC
rnacentral:rRNA from 1 species